AUUAAUAUUCUUCCAUCCAUCAUUAGACAUCCAGGAUGAAUGCAGCUCAGUCAUUCAUCCUGGAUGUCUAAUGAUGGAUGGAAGAAUAUUAAU
rnacentral:miRNA from 1 species